rnacentral:ribozyme from 1 species
UUAUUGAAAAAGUGGGUUUAUCUUUUUGUACUUUGUUCCACUUGUUUUGGUGUUUUAAGUUUUGAUAAAUAUUUUGAGUAUUGUAUUUUUCCUAAUAUGUUUAACAGAACUGUUGAAAAUCUAGUGAUACUAAACUAAGCAUUCAGAGCAUAGACC